rnacentral:piRNA from 1 species
UGGGGUUGAAGGUUACACUGUGGACGUGU